GUUUUAGACAAUAAUUUUUAAAGUCUUGGAACCCAAUUUUAGAACCCAAAUUUGAAUCUUCCACCUGAGCGCAAUCUCUUGACCCAUCAGCCCUUUUGGAGGAAUUAAUCCAAGCCAUUCACCCAAUCCCCAUAUAAUGGAUAAGAUCAUUUUUUACAGCCAUAUAAAAAUAUCAUCUAAACCCUAAUAAUCCUAAAAGAAGUCAGUCGUCCCCCCCCCUUGAGAGUUCAAGUUUUCUCUCAAACUUUGAGAGCAACAACAGCCCAUCUCCGCCCAUCUCGCCGGAAACCCGAACGCCCAACCACCCUAACCUAUAUCUCCUUUAGCCGCCAACCUAACCCCCCAUCUUCACCUUAGAGCAGCCAUCACACACACCCAAGAACAGAGAAAGACCUAACUCCCAAAAAAUGGCCGCACCCUCCCAUCUCCAUCUCCCAGACAAAAACCAGCCGCACACCACCCCAAUUCCUCCACCCUAUGACCAGCGGCCGCCUCCGUCAUUCUUAAAAAUUCCAUCACCACCCAACUCUAAGAGAAAACAGAGCACACCUAAUUUCAGAAGCCUCUGCCGCCGUUACUCCACUCCCGCCUGCUCACCUUUUUCCUUUUUGGUGAAAUUUCAUUAAAUCCCCCUUCUUCUAUGGAGUUAGAUUUGGCGAUUGGCAAGUGAAGUGAAGCAUGAGCUAUUGAGGCAUUGAGCAGUUUUCUCUUUGUUAAGUUAGUAAAAGGUAAUUGAUGUUUGAUCGCUGAUUUGAUACCAAAGCUAAAAAAACAGAAAAAAGAAGGGAGGAUAACGAAAGGGAAGGGACAGAGAUUAGACAAGAAAAAUGGAGAUCUGGAGGAGCUGACUAUUAGACAUAAGGAAUUUUUUCUUUAAAUUUGAAGCUGGCUUGGUUCGAUUGAUGUCGAGGUGCCGUUCGAGGUUAUUUUCAUGGUCCGCAGAUCAAUCUUUUAAUGUUGUUGCAUUUUUCAGUCAGAUUUAGUUCGUCGAAGAUUUUCAUUACCGAGUUCUCGUUAAUUCUAAGGAAUUUAUUAUUGAGGCAUGGAUCCAUGUACCAGAGCUCGAGCAUGACAGAUACUCCAGGACCAUUGCAUUUGAGAGCUUGUUUGAAGAGACUUUUUAUAUUUUGAGUCUGUUUUCAUGUUUUCUUUUACUUUCUUGUCUUGUCUAGUAUUUUUGAGUCUUUUAGGUGGUGUAAGAGUUUUCCGAGUCUUUUGUCAUCGUACUUCCCAUUUGUAUUUGAAAACAAAAAAAAGUUUUAAAUGAAAAAUCCAAAAAGAUUUUUGUUUUUUA